rnacentral:rRNA from 1 species
UACGAAGGGGGCUAGCGUUGCUCGGAAUCACUGGGCGUAAAGCGCACGUAGGCGGCUUCUUAAGUCAGGGGUGAAAUCCUGGAGCUCAACUCCAGAACUGCCUUUGAUACUGAGGAGCUUGAGUCCGGGAGAGGUGAGUGGAACUGCGAGUGUAGAGGUGAAAUUCGUAGAUAUUCGCAAGAACACCAGUGGCGAAGGCGGCUCACUGGCCCAUUACUGACGCUGAGGCACGAAAGCGUGGGGAGCAAACAGG